rnacentral:lncRNA from 1 species
GUGAGAAUCAAUUGACCGCUAUGAAGGCACCGGAGUGCAAACUUUAAAGGUUUUUAGAGACACUCAAGAAGCAAUGAAGGAUGGCAAAUUAUGUUAGGUCUCCUGUCUGGAUCAGGGGCCAGGGCGGUGACGGGCUGUCCAACCGCGGUGUGUUGUCUAUGGGCUCAGAAGACGUCAGUGGCUGCCUUGACUGUUGGCGACUCCGUGUGCGCGCAAGAGGUCUACAGAGCCCAGCUACACCAGACCAGCCCCCUGCUACAGCGCCUCCCGGCCUCACCAAGGACACAUCGAGCCCGGAAACACCGAACCUGUCUGGUGCUACGCUCCUGCAGUCAAUCACACACAAAUGAACUUGUACACACAUGCUCACACACAGAUAUGUGCUAACCCCUGAGCUACUGGAGGGCGCGUGGCCAAAUGCUGCCAGUCAGUCAUGCAGAAUGUACGUCACUUCAGACAUACUCAACGUCAUUUCUGGAAAUGCAUGUGUAAGCCUAGCAGAUGUCCGAAGGCGAGGCUGGGCAACGCCACACCUAGCCUGUCUAAUCUUCUCCAGAUAGUGUUUAUUUUUCCAUUUAUAGGCAGUCAUUAAAUAAACAUUAAAAAUACAUUUUGGUGGGAUACGUUGUAGAAAACAUUUGUUGCAUUUUGAGAGAGCAUUUUUAUGGGUGAAAUACAUUUCGAAUUGCACAUAUUUUUCUUCUAAAAUAAGGCCACUGGAAAGGGAGAGCCAGAGAAACAUGAUGAAAAAUAACGAAUAAAAUGUCACACGACAAUGAAAAUGUUGAUUGAUCCGUACAGUAGAUUAUAAAAUCGCUGUUUUUUUAAUCCUUCCUCAGUUUAUUCAUAUCAAACUGGAACUUCUUCAAGGACCCUUGCAUCAAGCCAUUCUGCUUGUUUCAAACAAGGAAGUAAUGUCGGUCAACGUGUUCGAGGUCGGGCUCACUCACUCGACAAUCUCAGCUUUGCAGUGAACCUUCCUCUCUGUUGCCUCCCCCACACACCCCCGAGGUGGUGCUGUCAAAUUUGCAUCGUCCAUGGGGGCUUCCCAGCCUCUCUCCAGCUAGCGGCGCCGUCUGUGUUUUUGCACAAAAUUAUUGUCACCAAUAACAUUGUCAAUAUACUGCAUGACACAUGUCAACAUCACCUCACUGUUGUGCAGAUUAUGCUGCAAAGAAACAGAAUUAUUAGACCUUUUAUUCUGGUAUGGUCCUCAGGUAGCAUGGUUCCUGUGACAGGCUUAGGAUUGGGGGCCUGAGGUGCUUUUGGACAGCUUCACUACAAAUGUAAAAUGUAUGAUUAGAUAGACAGACAAGCGGACAGACACAACCACAUAUGUGGUAUGUAGAGGUUAUUUUUAACUGGACCAUUAAUGGGCCUGAGAGGAAGUGACCAAGAAAACUGAAGAGAGAGCGCACUCGUG